GGACCCGCACAAGUAGUGGAGCAUGUGGUUUAAUUCGAAGAUACGCGCAGAACCUUACCAACACUUGACAUGUUCGUCGCGACUUUAAGAGAUUAAAGUUUUCGGUUCGGCCGGACGAAACACAGGUGCUGCAUGGCUGUCGUCAGCUCGUGUCGUGAGAUGUUGGGUUAAGUCCCGCAACGAGCGCAACCCUCACUUUUAGUUGCCAUCAUUAAGUUGGGCACUCUGAAAGAACUGCCAGUGAUAAGCUGGAGGAAGGUGGGGAUGACGUCAAGUCCUCAUGGCCCUUACGUGUUGGGCUACACACGUGCUACAAUGGGAAGUACAGAGGGACGCUAAAGCGCGAGCUGGAGCCAAACCCUUAAACUUUCUAGUCCGGAUUGGAGUCUGCAACUCGACUCCAUGAAGUCGGAAUCACUAGUAAUCG
rnacentral:rRNA from 1 species